rnacentral:rRNA from 1 species
AACGAACGCUGGCGGCAUGCCUAACACAUGCAAGUCGAACGAAGGCUUCGGCCUUAGUGGCGCACGGGUGCGUAACGCGUGGGGAUCUGCCCUUUGCUUCGGAAUAACAGUUAGAAAUGACUGCUAAUACCGGAUGAUGUCGUAAGACCAAAGAUUUAUCGGCAAAGGAUGAACCCGCGUAGGAUUAGCUAGUUGGUGGGGUAAAGGCCUACCAAGGCGACGAUCCUUAGCUGGUCUGAGAGGAUGAUCAGCCACACUGGGACUGAGACACGGCCCAGACUCCUACGGGAGGCAGCAGUGGGGAAUAUUGGACAAUGGGCGAAAGCCUGAUCCAGCAAUGCCGCGUGAGUGAUGAAGGCCUUCGGGUUGUAAAGCUCUUUUACCAGGGAUGAUAAUGACAGUACCUGGAGAAUAAGCUCCGGCUAACUCCGUGCCAGCAGCCGCUGUAAAAC